UACGAAGGGGGCUAGCGUUGCUCGGAAUCACUGGGCGUAAAGGGUGCGUAGGCGGGUUUUUAAGUCAGGGGUGAAAUCCUGGAGCUCAACUCCAGAACUGCCUUUGAUACUGAAGAUCUUGAGUUCGGGAGAGGUGAGUGGAACUGCGAGUGUAGAGGUGAAAUUCGUAGAUAUUCGCAAGAACACCAGUGGCGAAGGCGGCUCUCUGGGACGGUACUGACGCUGAGACGCGAAAGCGUGGGGAGCGAACAGG
rnacentral:rRNA from 1 species